rnacentral:rRNA from 1 species
UACGGAGGGUGCAUGCGUUGUUCGGAUUUAUUGGGCGUAAAGCGCGUGUAGGCGGUUUUAUAAGUCUGAUGUGAAAGCCCUGGGCUCAACCCGGGAAGUGCAUUGGAUACUGUAAGACUUGAAUACGGGAGAGGGUAGUGGAAUUCCGCAUGUAGGGGUGAAAUCCGUAGAUAUGCGGAGGAACACCGGUGGCGAAGGCGGCUACCUGGACCACAACUGACGCUGAGGCGCGAAAGCUAGGGUAGCAAACGGG